rnacentral:rRNA from 1 species
CCUACGGGUCGCAGCAGUGGGGAAUAUUGCACAAUGGGCGCAAGCCUGAUGCAGCCAUGCCGCGUGUAUGAAGAAGGCCUUCGGGUUGUAAAGUACUUUCAGCGGGGAGGAAGGCGAUAAGGUUAAUAACCUUGUCGAUUAACGUUUCCCGCAGAAGAAGCACCGGCUAACUCCGUGCCAGCAGCCGCGGUAAUACGGAGGGUGCAAGCGUUAAUCGGAAUUACUGGGCGUAAAGCGCACGCAGGCGGUCUGUCAAGUCGGAUGUGAAAUCCCCGGGCUCAACCUGGGAACUGCAUUCGAAACUGGCAGGCUAGAGUCUUGUAGAGGGGGGUAGAAUUCCAGGUGUAGCGGUGAAAUGCGUAGAGAUCUGGAGGAAUACCGGUGGCGAAGGCGGCCCCCUGGACGAAGACUGACGCUCAGGUGCGAAAGCGUGGGGAGCAAACAGGAUUAGAUACCCCGGUAGUC